AGUUAGCUGCAUACUUGUGCGGUUCCAAGUGUGGAGAAAGCGGCUCUGGGUCUAGAUUGAGGGAUACUCCCCCUUUCCACCAUGGGCAAGAAGGGCAAAGUUGGCAAGAGCCGACGAGACAAGUUUUAUCACUUGGCGAAGGAGACGGGUUACCGUUCCCGAUCUGCUUUCAAGCUGAUCCAGCUCAAUCGCCGCUUUCAGUUCCUGCAGAAAGCCCGAGCCUUGCUGGACCUGUGUGCUGCGCCAGGGGGAUGGUUCGUAACACUCGCCACAGGUUGCUCCUGGUGGCCGCUUUCUGGGUUCUGAGCUGGGAUGGCUUCCAGUUUCACUGCGGGAGGGGAACCCGAAUCCCGGUCCUCUUGGGGGCCGUUUCCUUUCUUGAUUGCAGAGAAAGGGCUUGGAAUACGUGCCUAUGAUAUGCUUUGGCCAGUACACGUAACACCAGGGAUGAGAGAUCAGUUGCCAAGAGGGGGAAAAGGAUGGCUCUAGGUUUUUAAAUUUCUGUUCCUUUUAUAGGCUGCAGGUAGCUGCCAAGUUUAUGCCUGUAUCCAGCCUUAUUGUGGGAGUGGACCUGGUUCCAAUCAAGCCUCUCCCCAAUGUGGUGACUCUCCAGCAGGACAUCACAAC
rnacentral:lncRNA from 1 species